rnacentral:rRNA from 1 species
GAUGAACGCUGGCGGCGUGCCUAAUACAUGCAAGUCGAGCGAAUGGAUUAAGAGCUUGCUCUUAUGAAGUUAGCGGCGGACGGGUGAGUAACACGUGGGUAACCUGCCCAUAAGACUGGGAUAACUCCGGGAAACUGGGGCUAAUACCGGAUAACAUUUUGAACCGCAUGGUUCGAAAUUGAAAGGCGGCUUCGGCUGUCACUUAUGGAUGGACCCGCGUCGCAUUAGCUAGUUGGUGAGGUAACGGCUCACCAAGGCAACGAUGCGUAGCCGACCUGAGAGGGUGAUCGGCCACACUGGGACUGAGACACGGCCCAGACUCCUACGGGAGGCAGCAGUAGGGAAUCUUCCGCAACGGACGGAAGUCUGACGGAGCAACGCCGCGUGAGUGAUGAAGGCUUUCGGGUCGUAAAACUCUGUUGUUAGGGAAGAACAAGUGCUAGUUGAAUAAGCUGGCACCUUGACGGUACCUAACCAGAAAGCCACGGCUAACUACGUGCCAGCAGCCGCGGUAA